UAUAGCCAGAUUUUCUCUUUCUUUCUAUUUGUACUCAUAGAUUUUAGUUAUCCAUGGAGAAAACAGCACUAGGAAUAGAUUCUGGACUCGAGUGGCCUUGUGUCUGCCACACAGUUGCACAGUGAAUUAAAAGAUGCUGUUGAAAAAAAAUUGGAGGCCUUUCCCCUUGGCACAGAGAUAGGAACUGAUACAUAUGCAGAUGAUGAAACAGUCAGAACCUUCAAGAACAAUUGCAGCUAGCCAAUCAAAUUAUACAGAUGGAAACAUGUAUUUAAGCCUGAAAGCUUCAGAGCUGAUGGAUGCCGGGUCUUCUGGCUCUACCAUCCACGCCUCCCACUGCUCUGCUCUCCUGGAAGUCCUGCCCUCAUGCUUUGAGAAGUAAUCUGCUACAAAGAGACAGGGACAGGCAGUAGAUCUUCAUCUGAGGGCAUCAAGAACCCUGGACCUUUAAAGUUAGAAAGAACUUGAUAGUUUCUGUUCUUACUCAUCUCACUUCACGGGCCUGUGGACCAAUCAACUCCCAUUUUUCAAAUCUCAGUGAUUGCCUGUGAAAAGCCAUGGGGAGUACAUAAGUUUGAAGGCCUCACCUUGGAUGGAAACGGCUUCUUUCUGAGAAUAUCCUGCGACUUCAGAAUGAUUACUCUCAUAAAGCAUGCAGCCACAGAGGCUGGACAGAGAUCUUCAGCCUUGUGAUGAAGGGAAACUGAGCUGGGGUUCCAGAAAGGAUUCUUCUCCUUAACCUAAUUUACGUUCAUCUCCUCAUAAAGAUGAUGAAGCAAGACUGAAUUUUAUUUAAUUUUCAUGCAUUGAAAUUAAAUCUCCAUUCCACUCCC